GCAGAGCUGGUGGGAUCUGCCGAAUGGUAAGGGGAUGCGUAAGCGUGAACCUGAGAGAGUGCAUAUAUUUGGGUAGAGGCCGGGGAAUCAGCAUUCACUCUUUGCAGAGGGCAGAGGUAAUUUACAAAUGACUGGGGACCCUCAGGAGCCCGUCUUGACCCUGUGUUGCCUUCCUCUGGGGCCUCAGUCCUCUCUUCAGCCCAAGAUCCCCUAGAGAAGAGCCAGGACAUCUGGGGUCUCCCAGGAGCAGCCUGGUCCCCUGCAGUCCUUUUUGGGGCCUGGAGUUGAUACUAUGGGAGCCACAGAGCUGUGCUGGCCCUGGAAUCCUGGGAGCCCUGUUUGCCUCCGUCCCUGUCGGGGCAGCCCAGCUGGAGGUUUUUCCCCAUCCAUGUGGUGUGGGCCGGGUGCCCUGCCCCAGUGCUGGGCCUGAUGGGCACCUAGGGAGGGCAGCUGGGCUGGGCCCACCCUCAGCCACUUUGCCCAGCAGUGCCAUCACCCUGCUUACAGAUGGACAAGCCCAGGGCCCGGGGCUGGCUUGGGCCCACAGAGUGGCUGCUGGGGCUAGGGCUGGGCCCAUGCCUCCCUGACCUGGCUCCACCCAGCUCCUGGCAUUUCCUUCCCCUUCUCCCCCAGGAUGCCCAGCCCUUGGCUGGGGAAUCUCAUUACUCCCAACCUGUAGAUGCAGAAACUGAAGCUGCAAGAGGGGAGUGGCUGGAGACUGGGAAGCAACCCAGUGGCAAGGUGGGACAGAGUAUUGGAAACCUCAAGGGGCAGUACAUGUCCCAGGACUGGCCAAAGGCAUGCCUGGUGGAGAGAAGUUUCUGGAAUGUGAAGGAGAGUGCUGUGGAGACGGAGAUGCCUGGAGAGGAGCCACGACAUUCCCAAGGUCACCUUACACAGUCAUCUGCCAUCAUUUGCAGAUCACAUGUCAGCUUACUUAGCAAACCCAACAGAAUGGACAGGAAAACUUAAUGUUAUAAACACAUAAUUCUCCCCAGAUGGACAUAAUAAAUUCAAUGUGAUUCUAA